UUACGGACAUAUCACGUUGAAAUACCGGCUCUCACCCGAUCUGCGAAGUUAAGUAACGCUGAGCAUGGUCGUUACGAAGAUGGGUGACCGCUUGUGAAUACCAGGUGUUGCAAG